UCACGUGUUUCUCUCCUUGGAGUGAGACUGAGUCUCGGUGGCGGCUGGAGGGGGCCGGACUCAUAAACACAGACACCGCCGCUUGUUUGGGUUUGGGGCGCUCCGAAACUCCGAGAAGCAGCCGGAGGAGGAGAAGUCAGCCAGGCAGCCCCAGACCCGCCUUCAGCCUGGGGCACGGGAGGGGGCUUUGCUGUUGGCUUCGGCGCCUUUCCCGACUGGAAUGAGGAGGAGGAGGAGGAGGAGGAAGAGAGGAUGUUCCUUCCCCACUUGGGCUGCUUCCCCUCCUGCUGCUGCCUGGUUGCAUUUUGUGUUGAAAUGGCACUUUCUCUUCCUAACGAGAUGGGACUGAAUGGGGUCGCCAGCCUCCUCACGCAUAAGCAGAAGCAGCAGCCUCGGCGCUGAUUUUGGGGCUGGGCUGCGUUUUUAGGGGGGGGAGAAGAGGCGUGUGUUUUGGGGUGUAAGCCCCGGACUUUGCAAAACAAACCGCUACCCAGAGGAUCUUUAAUCUGCUACAGAGAUUGCGCUCGCUGAGGCGAAGUUGUGAAGGGGAGGGUGUUUUGGAGCGAAGCAAGGGGGACCCCGUUCCUGCUCCUCUCUACAGAGGAAUCCGACCCAUACGACUGAAAGAUGCGUUUCUUCUCCUCCCCGGCGGCGGCUGCUGGGAGAACUAGACUUUCAUCUGGACUGACUGAGACUGGACUCUUUAAGGAUAUAUUGACCCUCCUGAGGGUGAUUUGGGCAUAAACAGCAAUAUAAACGCUGCUGUGGUGCUGGAAGCUGCCUCUGCCACUGAACAGCUGCUCUCACCCUGCCAGUAUCCCCUCCCCCCAUCCCGUUUUGGAGAGGGGAUUCCGAGCUAGUUUGCUUUUUUGUUAUGAUUGUUGUUGCAUGAAUUGUAUUUUACGAGGUUUUUUUUUUUUUCUGCCUUGCUUGGCAGUUUUGGGGGCCUGUGGGCUGAUAGCUGCGGUAAAAACACCACCACCUCUCCUUCCACCAUGGCUAGCCCCACGGAUAAUAAUGAGGGCUUCUUCUCAGAUGUCAGGAAGGUGGGUUACUUGCGCAAACCCAAGAGCAUGCAUAAACGCUUCUUCGUGCUGAGGGCAGCCAGCGAGUCAGGACCUGCCCGGCUGGAGUACUAUGAGAAUGAGAAGAAAUGGAGACAUAAGUCAGGAGCCCCCAAGCGUUCCAUCCCACUGGAGAGCUGCUUCAACAUCAACAAACGGGCAGACUCCAAGAACAAGCACCUGGUGGCCCUCUAUACCAAGGACGAGCACUUUGCCAUUGCAGCUGACAGCGAGCCUGAGCAGGAGAGCUGGUACCAAGCCUUGCUGCAGUUGCACAAUCGGGCCAAGGGCCACCACCACCUCCAUCAUCAUCGUCACCACCACCACCAUAGUGAUGUCUCCUUUGGGGGUGGCAGUGCAGGGCUGGGGGAGGCAGGUGACGAUAGCUAUGGCGAGGUGGUCCCUGGCCCGGCUUUCAAGGAGGUUUGGCAAGUGAUCCUGAAACCUAAAGGUCUGGGCCAGACCAAGAACCUGAUCGGCAUCUACCGCCUGUGCCUGACCAACAAAACCAUCAGCUUUGUGAAGCUGAACUCAGAUGCAGCUGCUGUGGUAUUGCAGCUGCUCAACAUCCGCCGCUGUGGCCACUCAGAGAACUUCUUUUUCAUAGAGGUUGGGCGUUCAGCGGUGACUGGGCCUGGUGAGUUCUGGAUGCAGGUGGAUGAUUCAGUGGUGGCACAGAACAUGCAUGAGACCAUCCUGGAAGCCAUGCGGGCCAUGAGUGAGGAAUUCCGGCCCCGUAGCAAGAGCCAGUCCUCUUCCAACUGCUCCAAUCCCAUCUCUGUGCCCCUCCGCAGCAGACACCAUGUCAACAACCCCCCACCCAGCCAGGUGGGGCUCAGUCGCAGGUCCAGGACUGAGAGUGUGACUGCUACCUCCCCUGCUGGGGGUGGUGGUGGUGGAGGAGGAGGAACAGGGGGCAAACCCAGCUCUUUCCGAGUCCGAGCCUCUAGUGAUGGGGAAGGAACUAUGUCCAGGCCUGCCUCUGUGGAUGGCAGCCCAGUAAGUCCCAGUGCCAACCGGACCCACUCACAUCGGCACCGUGGCAACUCCAGGCUUCACCCUCCACUCAACCACAGUCGCUCCAUCCCAAUGCCUUCUUCACGCUGUUCCCCUUCAGCCACCAGCCCAGUCAGCCUGUCAUCCAGCAGCACCAGUGGCCAUGGCUCCACCUCAGACUGCCUCUUCCCACGCAGGUCCAGUGCUUCGGUAUCAGGCUCCCCCAGUGAUGGUGGUUUCAUCUCCUCCGACGAAUAUGGCUCCAGCCCCUGCGAUUUCCGCAGCUCUUUUCGCAGUGUGACUCCAGACUCUCUGGGUCACACCCCGCCAGCACGGGGGGAUGAGGAGCUCAACAACUACAUUUGUAUGGGGGGCAAGGCUGCCUCGUCCUGCAGCUUGGCAGCUCCCAAUGGCCACUUCAUCCCUCGCAGUUGCCACCCACAGCAUCAGCAGUGCCGCUAUCCUGGCACCCCAUGCUGCCCCCGGAGUGGUGGAGAGGAGGUAACUGACCUGGAGAAGGGCUUCAGGAAGCGGACUCACUCUGCAGGCACCUCGCCCACCAUCUCCCACCAGAAGACACCCUCACAGUCUUCAGUAGCCUCCAUUGAGGAGUACACGGAAAUGCUGCCUUCCUACCCUUGUGGUGGCAACCGGCUGCCCUCCUACCGGCACUCUGCCUUUGUGCCCACUCACUCCUAUCCUGAGGAGCAUUUGGAGAUGCACCACUUGGAGGGCAGCCACCACCGGACCAACUCCACCCCACACACUGAUGACGGCUACAUGCCAAUGUCGCCUGGGGUGGCCCCUGUGCCCAGCAGUGGUGGCACUCCCAAAGGUGGUGACUAUAUGCCCAUGAGCCCCAAGAGCGUGUCAGCCCCACAGCAGAUCAUCAACCCUGGCAGGGGGGGUCGCCACACCCAAGCCAUGGUGGACUCCAAUGGGUACAUGAUGAUGUCCCCUAGUGGCAGCUGUUCGCCUGACGGUGGUCCCGCCGGCUAUGGCAAAAUGUGGACAAAUGGGGCUGGCCACCACCCAAAGCUCUCGGUAGAGAGCAGCGAAGGGAAGCUCCCAUGCAGCGGCAGUGACUACAUCAACAUGUCCCCAGCCAGCGGCUCAGCCACCAGCACCCCCCCGGACUGCUACUUCGCAAGCUCGGAGCCGCCGGGCCCGGAGGAGGCCUCGGCGCAGGGCCCGGCCGAGCCCCCCCACAAGCCCAUCUACUCCUACUUCUCCUUGCCGCGCUCCUUCAAACACGUGCAGCGCAGGGCAGCCGAGGAGAGCGGCCCCCAGCUGCGCAUCUCCCUCAGCUCCGGCCGCUUGCUCUACGCCGCGGAGGACUCGUCCUCUUCCACCAGCAGCGACAGCCUCGGCGGAGGCGGGGGCCAAGAGGGCGCCGGAGGUCCCUACCAGGCGCAGCCCCCGCCGCCGCAGCAGCCUACCCGUCAGGCGGCCGCGCAAAGCAGGAGCCGCCUGACCAGACCCACCCGCUUGUCCCUGGACGGCCCCAAGGCCAGCACCCUGCCGCGGGCGCGGGAGCAGCCCCCGCUGCUGCUGCCGCCGGAGCCCAAGAGCCCCGGCGAGUACGUGAACAUUGAGUUCGUGGCCAGUGACAAGCCAGCUUUCCCGUCGGCCGCGCGGCCCCGAGGGGACGAAGGCUCCGAGUACAUGAACAUGGAGCUGGGGCCGCCGCGGGCUGCCUGCCAAGCCGGCUUCGCAGCCGUACGGGCGGCAGCUGCGGCCCGGCCAGGCCGAGGAGCUGCUGCUCUCAGCAGCCGGGACUAUGUGACUAUGGAACAGGGGGGUGGUGUCGGGGGGCCCUGCCCGGGCUGCACCGACCCCCCGUCCCCCGCGCUCUUGCUCAACUACGCCGACAUGCGGACGGGCCGCGGCGUCCCGGAGAACCCCCCUGCUGCCCCUGCCUCCGCCCAGGCGCAGCCGCCGGCCGAGCUGGCAGCGGCGCCACCGCGCUCCUCCUCCCUGAUGGGAGGCCCGGGGGUGAACAGCGCCUUCACCCGCGUCAGCCUCAGCCCCGGCCGCAAUCAGAGCGCCAAAGUGAUCCGCGCCGACCCGCAGGGGGGCCGCCGGCGGCACAGCUCCGAGACUUUCUCCUCCACCCCCAGCACCGCCCGCGGCACGGCGGGCACCGGCGGCCUCAACGCGCCCUUGCUCUACGGGGCGGGCGGGGCGGGGGGCGCGGAGGAGGUGAAACGCCACAGCUCGGCCUCCUUCGAGAACGUCUGGCUCCGGCCUGCCUUGGGGGAGCUGGGGGCGGCCGCCAGGAGGGAGCAGCAGCCCCUCGGGGCCGGGGGUGGCUUUGAGAACGGACUCAACUACAUCGACCUGGACUUAGUGAAGGAUUUUAAUCAGCGUCGCCAACACCCCCACCACCCCCAGGAGGGCACCUCUGUGCUGGUGGGGAGGCAGCCGCCGCCCCCCAAAGCCCCUAAUCAGCCUUGUGGGAGUAGCCAUUCUAGCGACGAUUUGAGUGCAUAUGCCAGCAUCAGCUUCCAGAGGCGGGAGGACGUCUAAUAGCUGGGCAAGAGCCAGAGAGAAGGGAUACAGUCUCUCCUGUGUUUGCCAUUUUAUAAGAAAAAGAAACCCACAAUCUGCAGGCUGCAACUCACUUUCCUGUUACUCAACCCAUUGAUGGACAAUAAUUUCUUUUUCAAAAUUGGAAAGAAUGAUGACCUAUACAACCUCAGCAAAUCCUUCUUUUAACUCAUGGGUAUCCAGACUAUAAAUGUUACAUGAAUCACAACUAGGACCUCACAUCCUCCUCCUCGUCCAUAGAUGGGUACGAUGCAUCCAGUUCAGUUUGUUUACUUUACACAAACCUCAGGAGUUAGUUGACUGAACUGCACAUUCUAUGUUGUGCCAAGCAAAAGCACUGUGACACCUGGACAAUGAGUCUCUAUUACUUCAUCCUCUACCAUAAGGACUUAGCUGGACACAAUGAACUGAUGUGCCCACCACUAUGUCAUGGUGAGAAUGGGUAUUGUACUAGCACAUUUACAUGAUACAUUACAUUUCAUUUGCUGCUGAAAACCUGUAUGACAAAUCAUCAUUGUAAAUUAUUACAUACAAAACUGUUAAUGUUGGUUGAAGAGUAUUAAAUAUUUAACAUAGGUUUUGAUUUAUACAUGUACUUUUUUUUUUUUUAAUUAAAAUGUAACUUUUCCUACAGCACAUCUUUUUUGAUGUGGAACUGAGGUAUACUAUAUUCUGUUGUAAACAGAGUGGGGAACCUGCUUAAAACAAGGCUAAUAAGAAUAGAGUAGGGUACUAUUCUUGUUUUAAGAUUGUAAUUCAGAAAAUAAUAUAAUAUGAAUCAUUGGCCCCUGGGCCUUGAUUGUACAGUCAUAUUUACUGAUACUAUCAGUUGUAAGAUAACCCUGAUGUUGAGCUAAAUUCUUUCCAAAAGAAAAAAUAAUAAUUUUGUACUCCUCUUGUAAAAUAGGCUGUAUUAACUCAAAUGAAGAUAAACUUACUGUAGAUGGUAUUUACAAGUGUCAAUUUGAACUCAUCUAUUGCACAGAAACUUACAAAAAGCAGAAAAAAGAAAUCAAAGUCUUCCAUUGUAUAUAUUGUUAGGAGAAAAAAGGAAAAAAAAGAACCAUGGGUGAAGUCUUCAAAUCAAAACUCUUCCUGGAAUGAAAAAUGUGGGUGUUUGUAAAUUCUGGAAAUCUUUCUAUACGUAAUAAACUAGAAUACUGUUUUAUCUG